GGAGAGAUGGCUGAGCGGUCGAAAGCGGCGGUCUUGAAAACCGUUAAGGGGGCAACUCCUUCCAGGGUUCGAAUCCCUGUCUCUCCGCCA
rnacentral:tRNA from 1 species